rnacentral:rRNA from 1 species
GAUGAACGCUAGCUACAGGCUUAACACAUGCAAGUCGAGGGGAAACGACAUCGAAAGCUUGCUUUUGAUGGGCGUCGACCGGCGCACGGGUGAGUAACGCGUAUCCAACCUGCCCAUCACUUGGGAAUAACCUUGCGAAAGUAAGACUAAUACCCAAUGACAUCCCACGAAGACAUCUGAAUGGGAUUAAAGAUUUAUCGGUGAUGGAUGGGGAUGCGUCUGAUUAGCUUGUUGGCGGGGUAACGGCCCACCAAGGCAACGAUCAGUAGGGGUUCUGAGAGGAAGGUCCCCCAAAUUGGAACUGAGACACGGUCCAAACUCCUACGGGAGGCAGCAGUGAGGAAUAUUGGUCAAGGGGCGAGAGCCUGAACCAGCCAAGUAGCGUGCAGGAUGACGGCCCUAUGGGUUGUAAACUGCUUUUAUAAGGGAAUAAAGUGGGUCUCGUGAGACUUUUUGCAUGUACCUUAUGAAUAAGGACCGGCUAAUUCCGUG